rnacentral:rRNA from 1 species
AGGACGAACGCUGGCGGCGUGCUUAACACAUGCAAGUCGAACGGAGUUAAGCGCUGGAUUGAUGACAGCUGCUGUUGGAUUCCUUGCUUAACUUAGUGGCGGACGGGUGAGUAACGCGUGAGUAACCUGCCCUUGAGUGGGGAAUAACGUUCUGAAAAGAACGCUAAUACCGCAUAACACAUAGUGACCGCAUGAUCAUUAUGUCAAAGAUUUAUCGCUGAAGGAUGGACUCGCGUCCGAUUAGCUUGUUGGUGAGGUAACGGCUCACCAAGGCGACGAUCGGUAGCCGGACUGAGAGGUUGAACGGCCACAUUGGGACUGAGACACGGCCCAGACUCCUACGGGAGGCAGCAGUGGGGGAUAUUGCGCAAUGGGGGAAACCCUGACGCAGCAACGCCGCGUGGAGGAUGACGGUUUUCGGAUUGUAAACUCCUUUUAUGGGGGACGAACCAAGACGGUACCCCAUGAAUAAGCUCCGGCUAACUACGUGCCAGCAGCGGC